CCCUUCCCUUUCCAGCCGUCCCGGUCGCCCACCCCACUACCCCAGCCGCCACUCCCAGUCGUCCCAGCCUCCCAGCCUUCCCUGGAGGCCAGGACCCCAGCGCCCCACGCGGCCACGCCGGCACGCGGCACUGCGGCAGUCCCAGGCCCCCAGCCGCGCGCCCCCGCCCAGGCUCCCAGGCGGCGGCCAGGCCCCCGCCCCGCGCCCCCGCCCAGCAGGCAGCAGCCAGUCCGCCUCCGCCCGCUAGGACGGCUCCUAGUCGGCCAGUCUUCAGGCUUCAGCCCGCUGCCCCGCUGCGACGCUGCCCCGAGCGGUCGAGCUACGCCUGCGCGGCUGCGACCGGCGACCGUCCCCAAGCUGCGACUGCGACUGCGACCGGCGACCGUCCCCAACCUGCGGCGUCCCCGAGCCCUAGGCCCGACCCGCUGCCAUCCCUACCGCUGCCACCUGCGUCGUCCGCAAGGGAUCCAUCGCCGGCGAAGGAAGCCCUCCGAAAGCCGCACGAAGCUCAUUUGAUGACGCCCGCACACGCGACGAGCUCGUUCACCUACCAGCGGUUUACCGGCGGUGUGGUGGCUACGGAUCAACGGAGGCGCUCGCGUUGGCGUCGCUCAUUGACGACGAGAAGAAGCUUGGCGACUGCCAGUUCGACCUCUGGAAGCAGUACUACGCGGCCGCAUGCGUCGCUUUGUUCGGCAAGCUCCGGCAUAGCCGCCGCUUGGACGCGGUCCAGAGCGGCUGCACCGCGCUGUCCAUCUUCAAACAGGGGGACCUCAUGGUCGUCGCCAACGCCAGCGACUCUCGGGUUGUUCUGGGCAUCGCAUCCGACAACGACGCCGUCACGCCGUCCAGCUCAUCAUCCACCUGAAGCUCAACCUGCCACGCUUUCUGGAAUCACAUUUCUUGAGAACUAUCUGUUGGAGAGCUAAACUAGGCUCUUGUUCAUAUUAUGGAUCAGCAAGCUAAGAUUGAUGCUGAUUUUCUUGAACCAACUGUACUCUUAGAUGAGACACAUUACCAGGAGGGGUACAGAAAUGGCUAUAAUGAUGGUUUGGCAUCUGGAAAGGAAGAGGGGAGGCAGGUUGGUUUAAAGAUGGGUUUCCAGGUCGGUGAAGAACUGGGUUUCUUUCAGGGCUGUCUGGAUGUGUGGACGUCUGCAAUUCUCAUUGAUCAGAAUGCCUUCACAGCUCGGGUCAGGAAGAAUAUCGAGCAACUGGCUGCACUGGUGGGCAGUUAUCCGCUGUCCGAUCCGGAGAAUGAACAAAUUCAAGACGUGAUGGAGAAGAUAAGGCUGAAAUUCAGGGUCAUCACUGCAAGCUUAGGGGUGAAGUUAGAGUAUGAAGGGCACCCCAAAUCAUCUAAACAGGAUGCUGAGGAUCUGUAGCGGUGAUUGAAAUUACAUUUUAGUUUCUCCGCCCUUGCUGUUUAAAGCUCUUCAACUCAUUGGCAUCAUGAGGAACUGCAGUGAGACAUCAAUGGUCAGAGUCCGACCAUAACCACAUAUAUAGUUUUAACAAUGUCUCAAGUUUUGUGUUAUUACCUGCUGUCUGCUGUCUGCCAUAUGUAAUAGUUUCCUUUCAAAAGGCAAAUGCACUUCCUUCCCAUUUUCUUUGAAGUACUUGUAUCAAACACUCUGCGAUGAGAAUCCUGAAUUUCGUUCUUUUCUGAAGAAUAUAUGUACUCCUUUCUCAUAGUUGUUGGGGGC
rnacentral:misc_RNA from 1 species